UUUACAAUUUCAUGGAAAUCUUCCAGUGCAUAUAAUUAUUAUUUUUUGGACCCAAUCACUGCAGUUGUUUUAUGUUGUAGUUCUUUCAAUUCAGUUCACUUUGAAAUAAUGGUCCAGAUCACAGUUACUGCGGGAUGACAAGGUAACGCUUGAUUAAUUAGUGAGGAGCUAACAUGUUUUUCACAAGUAAUAUAAUAAGUCAUUUAAUUUUAUAUUUGACACAUACUGUACAGGCAUACAUUUCUGUGAGGCACUAGUGAUAUUCUAACAAACAUUGUAAUCUGGAAGAUGUGGUUUUGCGCUUAUCGCAACAUAAAUGCAGCCCAUGUCUUCA